rnacentral:lncRNA from 1 species
UUCAACACUUGAGGGUUGAAUUGAUUUGACGGUUAAAAUUUGAUUAAGAAAUCAUCUUAAGACUAAUCAUGUUAUAGUUCCUAGGAAUCCCCGCACAAACUUUAAUGCUCCUAAUCCUCCAAGAAAUAUUGUAAUUUCUUUUGGUUCCUGAGUUGUCUCUACCUAGUAAAACCCUAAAUUGAUUGCUGAAAAAACCUAGUAGUUUGCAUCUAUACACACAAUCAAUAGCCAAUUUUGUGUAUCUAUUUUAUAGAGUAGAUAUACACACUAAUUUACAAGGAUAGAGAGACCAAUGGUUAAGAAGGUGUAACAAGCUAGUAAAACCUAAAUUAAACAGCAGAUUUUUAACAGUUGGCAGUAAUCCAUAAACGAGCCAACUUGGCUGAAGCUUUUGAAAGUUUCUUUUCUCUAAACCUACAAUGGAAAAUGCCAUUAUUUACCCACCCUACCCCCACUUCCACCCGCAAACCCUAGCCUCAAUUAUCAUUUCUUAAAUAGGGUUCCCUAAAGAAAAGCAAGAGAAGAGAUCUAUAGAGAGAAAGAGAGAGAGAGAGAGAGAGAGAAUUGGAAAGUGGUGAAAAAUGGGGAGAGGAAAGAUCGAGAUCAAGAGGAUUGAGAACUCAAA